UCUAAUAAUUACAUAUCUAUUUAUGGCACUUUGAAUAUAAUAGGGUCCAAAUACUCUAGAAUUCAUUCAAAAUGUGAUGACUAAUUUCACUACUCAUAAAAAUAAGAGGCCAAAUAUAAUAAUUUCAAAUGAUCUCACUUUGACCAACAUAUCUACUCGUUAUCCUCUAUUACCUUGAAAAGAUUAAAGCAAAAACGUAAAACAAUAACAACAAAGCCCAAAAACCAUGCUUGAUGUUGCUUAAUUAAGGAAAAAAAAAGGGCAAAAGAAGAAAGGGUGCCCUAAUUAACAUUAAAUCUUUUUCAUCUUUGUCUAUAAUUCCUUUUUUUAUUAUUAUUAUGUUUUCCGUUUUGCUCCUAAUUAAGCAUUGCCAUGUUAAUGUUUGCUAUGCUUUUUGUUUUUAAGUCAAAGUUACACGCAUAUAUUCUGUCUACACUGCAAGAACACAUAUCCUGUCUUCUAUACUGCCACCAAAUUAUCAUCAUCAGAAAAAAGGAAAAAAAAAAAAAUCAAACAAGAAUAUAUAAUUACUAUGGUGAAACACGCACAAACUUGUUAAAGAUCGAGCAUAAAAUAGAACCGAAAUUGCUUACUGCAUGUGCCCUAAAAGCAGAACCAGAUGCUGGUCGGUGUCCCUUAAAGAUAUAUCUUCAAAUUCUUCCCCAAGAAAAAUAAAAUAAAUCUUUAUUAAGAAUUAAAAUUUAGAAAAUGGGCUUUUCUUUUUUAUAUAAUGUUGUGAACAUGGUGUAUGUGAGUUUGGUAGGUUACCACUUCUGUCAGCUUUACAAGGUUUUCAAGGCUCUUGGACUGUAGCUACAAAUGGAAAACUGCCUACUAUACUACUUUAGGUUUCUUUUUUUCUUUCCCUUUUAAAAAAAAAAAAAGUUCUUAUAGUAAAAGGAAUCUCCACUAUAAUGCAUGGUUGAACUUGAAGGUUGCAGUAAUAGGAGGAGCACUAGAAGUGGUGACAGCUUUUCUUUUUAAUGUUUUUUAAAAUUUAGUUACUGUAUGCUUUUUAGGUACUACUGCAAGUGUUACAGUCAGUUUUGCACUUGCAACAAGAUGUGAUUGAUUUUGAUUGAUUUGACAGGCAGAUGCUUGUGGCUUACCAAUACCCUUCAUCAGUUUUGUCCACAUUAAGGUUAUUGCAAUGUUGAUUUUUAUUUUUAUUUUUAUUUUUAUUUUUAUCUUUAACUCGAUCAAAGGGGGUAUUGAGAGAAGAGAAUCAUCAACACCCGGUUGGAGUUUGGCAUGCUGCUGCGCCUACUGUCUGCCCUGCAGCUACUUCCGUCCGAUUUGGUAUUACUUUGCCAACAAACUUUAACCAAUCAUGUAAUCUACUGUAGUCUGAAUUCAAGGGCAUCCAUGCAGCAGAUAUUCUGCCCUAUCAUUCGACCACUGAAUUGUUCGUUUGCAUGAUUGAAGAUCAAUGUGGAUAUCACACAAAGGGACAAAAAGCAAAAAUUGAUGGUUAGGCAGUGUGCAAAAGAGGCUUGGCAAGUUGCACUUGACAGGAGCAGAGAACUUGCUGGAUUAUUGAUAAAAUCAGUACAAAGACUGGAAUUUUACUGAUAUGUAGUCCAAUAUUUUAAAGGCAUAUUUCGUCCAAGAUCCACCUCCCUAUUCUAAUUUUUUAGUUUGUUAAUCUUGGAACUCGAACUCCAAUCUUAGCACUUUCUUGAUGUUUCAUUUUUCUUUUCUUUUUUCCCCUUUGCAUCUUUCAUGAUUUUGGCUAUGCAAGAAAGUCAAGAAUAAUGUGCCCCUCUUGGUUUUGUACAAUGAGCUCUAGGAUAAGAAAUUUGGAAUCUGUGUAUAUAUUUUAAGAAAUCUACAGUAAUUAAGUUCAUCUAUA